ensembl:lncRNA
AUGAGUUUUUGGAGACCGUUCCCUGUGGGAUUUUGUCAUCAGCUUGGGGCUGUGGGGGCUGCAGGUGGUUUGGGGUCUGGAAGCCCAAGCUUGGAAAAAGAACCCUCCUUUCCCUUGGAAAAAGAACCCUCCUUCCUCCUUCCCAGAAGAGGCAACAGCAGCAGGUGUCUCUGCACGGUGGGAUGGUGGCUCACGAGUGCCUCUGUGAUGUUUGUGUGUGCAGGACUCAACUUUCUACCGUGUGUCCUCUUCGGUUUAGCAGUUGGGACGCUGCUUUACAUGCCGAUUAUUGGCAUUCUGCUGUGGCAGUGCCAAAAGAACAGAAAAGAAAAGCUUGUAGCCAUGCAAGUGGUGGAGGAGCAUCAGCUCAGCACGGCAGCCCCAGUGACGGGGACUGAAGAGCUGACCUACGCUAACCUGAAGUUUGAGAAGGAGACAAACCCCACCUCCUCCGAUGUCAUUUACACCAAGAUCAAACCACUGCAACAAAAGCAGGGUGGUGGGGAUGCCGGUGCUGCCAACACGGAGGUGGAUGUGUUCCCCGAGGGAGAGGGCAAAUGAAGGAGAAAAGAGGGAUGAGCAGCUUGGUGUGGCCUUGUCAGGGUCAUCAUCCCCCCAAAAUAAGUGUUAGUUCUUAUGUAAGUGCAAUCUUGGCAACUGAAGCCACCUAUUUAUCCCCAAAUGGCUGCACCACUGUGCUUUACAGUCCCUUGGAAGAAGCCAUCUCCUGUGGUAAGGACAGUGCUCUUCCAACCAUUCUUGCCCUUGCCUUCCUGCAGCUCCAGGCACCACCAAGCUUCAGCUUUUUUGGUCAGACCUUUCAGACCUUUUUUGGUCUCUGCUCACCAACGGGCUCUUCUAGCAACUUGUUCCAUGUUUCAGUGAUGUCACCAUGCACUGCGUGGCCACCAUGGUUCAGGAAGCACUUGGUAUCCCUUUGGUGCUGGACAUGCUGGGUGGGGUGGCCAUGGAAAGGUCCUCUGGGUGCUGCAAAAGCCCUGGAGCAGUUGUCUGGAUUUUCUCCAGAGCAGGCACCUGUUGUGACAUGAGGUGCCCUUGCUCUGGUUUCACUCGCUCGAAACACAAGGAGCAAGGAUGGAACGGUAUAAUUUGCUUCGCAGCGGUGUGACGUGGGUGCUGCUGCAGUGAUCUAUGUGCAUCUGCUUCAUACCAGGAGCGGACAUGUGUCUUCAUGCAUGUAGAGCUUUCCUGUAAUUUGUUUUUUUUUUAAAAAAGAAAAAAAGAAAAAAAGAAAAAGGGAUGUUUUCUCCCUCAGUGUUUCCACUGCUGUACUGCUGAUGAUGGAGACUCAGUGAAGUCCAUCAGGAAUAGCCAGCAAGGCCUGGAGUCUUUCUGAUCUCCCCGCAUUUUCAGAGCAGCUGACAGUAGGAGACAUCCCUACAGUGGUGGUGGUGGAGCUCCAGGUGUCCUGGGUGCAGAGCUUGGGUCACACAUGACCAGGAAGACACAGGCAAAGGCUACAGACAGGGGAAAAUUGGGGGGAAAAAACCCCAACAUUUGGGGGGAGCAAGCAGACCCUCAAGUGCUGGGUCCAGUUCUG